UCCGAUUUAUCACCGGCAGUCUCCUUAGAGUUCCCGCCAUUACGCGCUGGUAACUAAGGACAAGGGUUGCGCUCGUUACGGGACUUAACCCAACAUCUCACGACACGAGCUGACGACAGCCAUGCAGCACCUGUCACCCAGUUCCCGAAGGCACUCUCUCUAUGAGGAGAGAUUCUGGGGAUGUCAAGGAUAGGUAAGGUUCUUCGCGUUGCAUCGAAUUAAACCACAUGCUCCACCGCUUGUGCGAGCCCCCGUCAAUUCCUUUGAGUUUUAACCUUGCGGCCGUACUCCCCAGGCGGAGAACUUAUUGCGUUAGCUGCGGCACUAAGAGGUAUCCCUCCUAACGCCUAGUUCUCAUCGUUUACGGCGUGGACUAC
rnacentral:misc_RNA from 1 species